CAGCAGCCGCGGUAAUACGGAGGGUGCGAGCGUUAAUCGGAAUAACUGGGCGUAAAGGGCACGCAGGCGGUGACUUAAGUGAGGUGUGAAGGCCCCGGGCUUAACCUGGGAAUUGCAUUUCAUACUGGGUCGCUAGAGUACUUUAGGGAGGGGUAGAAUUCCACGUGUAGCGGCGAAAUGCGUAGAGAUGUGGAGGAAUACCGAAGGCGAAGGCAGCCCCUUGGGAAUGUACUGACGCUCAUGUGCGAAAGCGUGGGGAGCAAACAGGAUUAGAUACCCCUGUAGUCCCUGUCUCUUAUAC
rnacentral:rRNA from 1 species